CCUACGGGAGGCAGCAGUGGGGAAUAUUGGGCAAUGGAGGAAACUCUGACCCAGCGACGCCGCGUGCGGGAUGAAGGCCUUCGGGUUGUAAACCGCUUUCAGUAGGGAAGAAGCGAAAGUGACGGUACCUACAAAAGAAGCACCGGCUAACUAUGUGCCAGCAGCCGCGGUAAUACAUAGGGUGCAAGCGUUGUCCGGAAUUAUUGGGCGUAAAGAGCUCGUAGGUCGUUUGUUACGUCGGAUGUGAAAACCUGAGGCUCAACCUCAGGCCUGCAUUCGAUACGGGCAAACUAGAGUUUGGUAGGGGAGACUGGAAUUCCUGGUGUAGCGGUGGAAUGCGCAGAUAUCAGGAGGAACACCAAUGGCGAAGGCAGGUCUCUGGGCCAAUACUGACACUGAGGAGCGAAAGUCUGGGGAGCGAACAGGAUUAGAUACCCUGGUAGUCCAGACCGUAAACGGUGGGCACUAGUUGUGGGAACCUUCCACGGUUUACUGCGACGCAGCUAACGCAUUAAGUGCCCGCCUGGGGAGUACGAUCGACGAAGAUUAAACUCAAAGGAUUGAACGG
rnacentral:rRNA from 1 species